AAGGAAGUGUAAAACAAUGUGAAAUCAAUUAUGUAAAGAAAUUUCAGAGCUUCCAAGACCACAAACUUAAAAUAAGUAAAGAAGACAGUGAAAUUCUUAAAAAGGCUCAGAAAGAUGGAUUUUUGCACGAGAUGCUUCUGGAUAGGAGAGCCAAAUUGAAAGCUGACAGAUACUGCAAGUGACUGGGAUUUUUGUUUCUGCCUUAUCUUUUUGUGUUUUUUUCUGUGUUUGGUUUUUUGUCCUCGCGACAGUUGGCUGAGAAUAAUG